rnacentral:rRNA from 1 species
AACGUAGGAGGCAAGCGUUAUCCGGAAUUACUGGGCGUAAAGGGCUCGUAGGUGGCCAACUAAGUCAGACGUGAAAUCCCUCGGCUUAACCGGGGAACUGCGUCUGAUACUGGAUGGCUUGAGUGUGGGAGAGGGAUGCGGAAUUCCAGGUGUAGCGGUGAAAUGCGUAGAUAUCUGGAGGAACACCGGUGGCGAAGGCGGCAUCCUGGACCAUUACUGACACUGAAUAGCGAAAGCCAGGGGAGCAAACGGG